AGGGCACCACCAGGAGUGGAGCCUGCGGCUUAAUUUGACUCAACACGGGAAAACUCACCCGGCCCGGACACUGUAAGGAUUGACAGACUGAGAGCUCUUUCUUAGUUCAGUGGGUGGUGGUGCAUGGCCGUUCUUAGUUGGUGGAGCGAUUUGUCUGGUUAAUUCCGAUAACGAACGAGACUCUGGCCUAUUAAAUAGACGAGGUAUUUACAUGUAUCUCGCGCUUCUUAGAGGGACAAGCGGCGUCUAGUCGCAUGAAAAAGAGCAAUAACAGGUCUGUGAUGCCCUUAGAUGUCCGGGGCUGCACGCGCGCUACACUGAAAGAAUCAGCGUGCAUAUAAACCUAGUCCGGAAGGACCGGGUAACCCAAGUAAAUUCUUUCGUGCUUGGGAUAGGGAAUUGCAAUUAUUUCCCUUAAACGAGGAAUUCCCAGUAAAUGCGGGUCAUAAGCUCGCGUUGAUUACGUCCCUGCCCUUUGUACACACCGCCCGUCGCUACUUCCGAUUGGAUGACUUAGUG
rnacentral:rRNA from 1 species